CGGCGGACGGGUGAGUAACACGUGGAUAACCUACCUAUAAGACUGGGAUAACUUCGGGAAACCGGAGCUAAUACCGGAUAAUAUAUUGAACCGCAUGGUUCAAUAGUGAAAGACGGUUUUGCUGUCACUUAUAGAUGGAUCCGCGCCGCAUUAGCUAGUUGGUAAGGUAACGGCUUACCAAGGCAACGAUGCGUAGCCGACCUGAGAGGGUGAUCGGCCACACUGUAACUUAGACACGGUCCAGACUCCUACGGGAGGCAGCAGUC
rnacentral:rRNA from 1 species